rnacentral:rRNA from 1 species
GACGAACGCUGGCGGCGUGCUUAACACAUGCAAGUCGAACGGAAAGGCCCUGCUUUUGUGGGGUGCUCGAGUGGCGAACGGGUGAGUAACACGUGAGUAACCUGCCCUUGACUUUGGGAUAACUUCAGGAAACUGGGGCUAAUACCGGAUAGGAGCUCCUGCUGCAUGGUGGGGGUUGGAAAGUUUCGGCGGUUGGGGAUGGACUCGCGGCUUAUCAGCUUGUUGGUGGGGUAGUGGCUUACCAAGGCUUUGACGGGUAGCCGGCCUGAGAGGGUGACCGGCCACCUUGGGCCUGAGGUUCGGCCCCGGCUCCUUCGGGAGGCAGGCAGGGGGGAUUUUGGCCCAUGGGGGGGAGCCUGAGGGGGACACCCCGCGUGCGGGAAGAAGGGCUUUGGGUUUUAAAACGGUUUCGGCUGUUAAGGAGGGUGAGUGGCGGUAAUUGGUAAAAAAGCCCCGGGUAACUUCCUG